UAGGGAAUCUUCGGCAAUGGGGGGAACCCUGACCGAGCAACGCCGCGUGAGUGAAGAAGGUUUUCGGAUCGUAAAGCUCUGUUGUUAAGGAAGAACGAGUGUGAGAAUGGAAAGUUCAUACUGUGACGGUACUUAACCAGAAAGGGACGGCUAACUACGUGCCAGCAGCCGCGGUAAUACGUAGGUCCCGAGCGUUGUCCGGAUUUAUUGGGCGUAAAGCGAGCGCAGGCGGUUAGAAAAGUCUGAAGUGAAAGGCAGUGGCUCAACCAUUGUAGGCUUUGGAAACUGUUUAACUUGAGUGCAGAAGGGGAGAGUGGAAUUCCAUGUGUAGCGGUGAAAUGCGUAGAUAUAUGGAGGAACACCGGUGGUGAAAGCGGCUCUCUGGUCUGUAACUGACGCUGAGGCUCGAAAGCGUGGGGAGCGAACAGG
rnacentral:rRNA from 1 species